UGUAACCCACUCACCACAAUUAUAGUCGAGUAAGUGGAUGCCAUCAUUAUACACACCAAAUAGGGUAGAGUAAAUGGAUGCCGACCCCGAAUCCCAUUCUUUUAAGCAAAAUCUUCCAGAAACCUCCGAUUGACAUGGUCGCUGCUCUGUUGGGUCUGAUUACUUUCAAGUACUUUUCUAACUACGUGUGUGGCUGGUGGUUUAGCAUGACGUUUCACUCUCUGCUCCUAAAGAUCUUAAUCUUCUUGAAGUUGUGCGUGAUUGAAUUUUCCAAUCGUUUCAGUUGUUCUUGACUGAGUUUUUUUCCAUUUAUUUGUAAAUACAUCAUACUGAGCUUAAAAUUCAGAAGAGCUUUUUUGGUUACCAUGCUUCGCCUCUGCUACAGCGUGCAAGUUUCUUGGAGACCAGGGACCUCUGAGAGCAUUUUGGAUGUAUAUACAUGCUCUCCCUAAAAUGGUAAGAUAUUGUAUUGGUCUAACUUUCAACUUCCUAUUUGCCUACGUGUUGGUGAUGGCUGAUAGCCAACCAUUCUGGUUCAUUUUUGUCACGGGUCUGGCACUCCACCUUUUGGUAGCAUUAAAAGUUAUCAUGCGCCAAUAAAACAUUUGGUGAAGGCUGCCUGUUUCUACGGACCAAGUGCAAGAAGUUUAUCAUCAAGCCGCAGCCUAAUUUCCAGAAUUCGGAAUUCCUUCAUAGGCAGGGAAGGUGACACUGGCAGCAGUGAGAAUGAUGCGAAGCAUUUAUUCAUUUUUGCAAUCCGUUGGCAUUUUUGAAGUACUAAUUAUGUUUUUAAUUAUACUAUUUAAUAUGCAGGUACUUUUCCUUGCUUUCUGUGUUUUUUCAUUUUACAGGUAAAACUUUCAUUUUUCAUACAAAAGUAACCAUAGUAAUACGCAGUUACUUAUUAA